rnacentral:rRNA from 1 species
UACGGAGGGUGCAAGCGUUGCUCGGAAUUACUGGGCGUAAAGCGUACGCAGGCUGCUUGCCAAGUCGGGUGUGAAAGCCCGGGGCUCAACCCCGGAAUUGCGCCCGAAACUGGCGAGCUUGAGUGCGGGAGAGGGAAGCGGAAUUCCUGGUGUAGAGGUGAAAUUCGCAGAUAUCAGGAGGAACACCGAUGGCGAAGGCAGGUCUCUGGGCCACUACUGACGCUGAGAAGCGAAAGCGUGGGGGAGCGAACAGG